rnacentral:rRNA from 1 species
GACGAAGGGGGCUAGCGUUGUUCGGAAUUACUGGGCGUAAAGCGCGUGUAGGCGGUUAUCCAAGUCGGGGGUGAAAGCCUUGAGCUCAACUCAAGAAAUGCAUUCGGUACUGGGUGACUAGAGGACCGGAGAGGAUAGUGGAAUUCCCAGUGUAGUGGUGAAAUACGUAGAGAUUGGGAAGAACACCAGUGGCGAAGGCGGCUAUCUGGACGGUUUCUGACGCUAAGACGCGAAAGCGUGGGGAGCAAACAGG